UACGGGGGGGGCAAGCGUUGUUCGGAAUUACUGGGCGUAAAGGGCGUGUAGGCGGCCAACUAAGUCCGACGUGAAAUCCCCAGGCUUAACCUGGGAACUGCGUCGGAUACUGGAUGGCUUGAAUCCGGGAGAGGGAUGCAGAAUUCCAGGUGUAGCGGUGAAAUGCGUAGAUAUCUGGAGGAACACCGGUGGCGAAGGCGGCGUUCUGGACUGCUACUGACACUGAUGAACGAAAGCCAGGGGAGCAAACGGG
rnacentral:rRNA from 1 species